ensembl:lncRNA
CGUAACGCGACCGACGGCGGCUGAUGGAUUCUCCGUCCGCGCACAAAUAAUGAGCAGCAAUAAGACAUUACUCACCUCCGCGCUCACUUUCCUGUCGUCCCCGGAGUUACGGAUGCCGCUGCUGGACAGGAAUGUCCACCGUGACGCUGUCCGGUCCUCCGGUACGGUCUGCUCCGUAAACUGGGCAAUCUUCAAUAGCCAUGAUGCAGACAGGACCCAGGAUGAUGGAAACAUAUCAAAAUUUGCAGUACACUUGUUGGUUCAGCACUGACUCACACAAGGGGCCGCAGGAGGGGAAACAAAAAGUCUUCAGUGACAUCUCCCUGUGGGAUAUGACCUCCUGUUUUGGGAAGUGGAAUGUAUCACCAUGGAAACAAAGUUCCCAGUCCUGCAGAGGGAG